rnacentral:misc_RNA from 1 species
AAAUCAUUAGAUCGGACAGCCGUGCUUCCUCUGGAAACGGGGUGAUGGACAUCAUGUGUGGGUCCUACAUCAAUCUAAUAUCUAUUAGGAGCAUAUUCUAGUUCUAAGCAAUAAUCUCUCUACCAAUUUGUAGAUAGAUUAAUCUUAGCUAUAUUCAGGUUAUAUUGUAAUGCUUUAUGUUUACUCGUCCUUUUGAAGCCUUAUCCAUGGGCAUAGCAUGAAUCUUAAACGGCCAACCGAUGGUAAUGCAGCAUCCUUAUUAUGCUGAAUUUAUUUUUUUUAUCUAUAUUUUUAUCAGCU